rnacentral:rRNA from 1 species
CCUACGGGAGGCUGCAGUGGGGAAUAUUGGACAAUGGGGGCAACCCUGAUCCAGCCAUGCCGCGUGUGUGAAGAAGGCCCUCGGGUUGUAAAGCACUUUCAGUGAGGAAGAACGCCUGGUGGUUAAUACCCAUCAGGAAAGACAUCACUCACAGAAGAAGCACCGGCUAACUCCGUGCCAGCAGCCGCGGUAAUACGGAGGGUGCGAGCGUUAAUCGGAAUUACUGGGCGUAAAGCGCGCGUAGGUGGCUUGAUAAGCCGGUUGUGAAAGCCCCGGGCUCAACCUGGGAACGGCAUCCGGAACUGUCAAGCUAGAGUGCAGGAGAGGAAGGUAGAAUUCCCGGUGUAGCGGUGAAAUGCGUAGAGAUCGGGAGGAAUACCAGUGGCGAAGGCGGCCAUCUGGACUGACACUGACACUGAGGUGCGAAAGCGUGGGUAGCAAACAGGAUUAGAUACCACGGUAGUC